GGUAUCCAUAUGUCUACAUAUAUAUACAUAUAUAUAUAUAUAUCCGAAGACACCAAGCUUUUGAGGCAAUCAGCGCUCUAUUCAAUUAUAUUUUUUACGUCUGCGUGAACGCUGAAAGCCACAACGCCAGAAACACUUGGCGGGGGUUUCAAACCUAAGUUUACGUAUUGUGUAUUUCCAUGGAUACAGUUCGUUACAACAGGGGAUUAUCAGGCGCAUAAUUUCCCGUAGAGAAGAUGUCAUUUUGCCACUGAGAUCAGCCGACUUGGCACCAUUGGUUUUUUAUGAGGCUACUCGCAUGGCCAUAUUUAUACGAAUAAACCUCAAACUUUGGAUCACUUUAAAAUCAACAUAUGUCCAGUUAUGGCCCAUAUACAUACAUACAUACAUACAUGUGUCAACAAGUGGCCGAAAAUAUCUCAAAAAUUCAACGCUUUAAGGCAGUUCUGAAAGCUUUCCACUCACACAUUGACAAAGUGAAAUCCCUUACUGAAUGCCGCACCUUUUUGAACGAGAACAUACAUAUUUACUCGUAUGGUUGCCUGUGUACACCGCAUAGCAAUUGCAAAGCUGACGAACUGACAAGGAAAGGCACGACCACCCAAAACCUUCCGGGAAUGGACACGAUAGAUAUAAAAAUAGUCACUUUGUAGCUGUUUGUUAGAUAUCACACCAUUCCAGUCACAAAGAGACGCUAAAACAAUCUUUCGUUUUAUGAAACUUUCAGGAUUACCUGGUAUUUCUAUAAAAGGAAGCGCUUACGGGCCCCUAUGUGAAAUGAAGGACUGAAUCGAAAAAAUUACCAAAUUGAAAAAAUAAAUUACUAAAUUACCAAUUUUGGUUAA